rnacentral:tRNA from 1 species
GCCGGAGUAGCUCAGUGGAAGAGCAGCUGAUUCGUAAUCAGCAGGUCAGGGGUUCAAAUCCCCUCUCCGGCUCCA